CCUACGGGAGGCAGCAGUAGGGAAUAUUGCACAAUGGAGGAAACUCUGAUGCAGCGAUGCCGCGUGAGUGAAGAAGGCCUUUGGGUUGUAAAGCUCUUUCGUCGGGGAAGAAAAUGACGGUACCCGAAUAAGAAGGUCCGGCUAAUUUCGUGCCAGCAGCCGCGGUAAUACGAAGGGACCUAGCGUAGUUCGGAAUUACUGGGCUUAAAGAGUUCGUAGGUGGUUAAAAAAGUUGGUUGUGAAAUCCCGAAGCUUAACUUCGGAACUGCAAUCAAAACUUUUUAGCUAGAGUAUGAUAGAGGAAAGCAGAAUUUCCAGUGUAGAGGUGAAAUUCGUAGAUAUUAGAAAGAAUACCAAUUGCGAAGGCAGCUUUCUGGAUCAUUACUGACGCUGAGGAACGAAAGCAUGGGUAGCGAAGAGGAUUAGAUACCCUCGUAGUCCAUGCCGUAAACGAUGUGUGUUAGACGUUGGAAAUUUAUUAUCAGUGUCGCAGCGAAAGCAGUAAACACACCGCCUGGGGAGUACGACCGCAAGGUUAAAACUCAAAUGAAUUGACGG
rnacentral:rRNA from 1 species